rnacentral:rRNA from 1 species
GACGAACGCUGGCGGCGUGCUUAACACAUGCAAGUCGAACGGAAAGGCCCUGCUUUGUUGCGGUGCUCUAGUGGCGAAGGGGUGAGUAACACGUGAGUAAGCUGCCCUUGACUGUGGGAUAACUUCAUGAAGCUGGGGCUAAUACCGGAUAGGAGCUCCUGCUGCAGGGUGGGGGUUGGAAAGUUUCGGCGGUUGGGGAUGUACUCGCGGCUUAUCAGCUUGUUGGUGGGGUAGUGGCUUACCAAGGCUUUGACGGGUAGCAGGCGUGAGGGGGUGACCGGCCACAUUGGGACUGAGAUACGGCGGAGACUACUACGGGAGGAAGCAGUGGGGAAUAAUGCAGGACGGGCGGCAGCAGGAUGAAGCAACGACGCGUGGGGGAUGACGGAGGUCGGGUUGUAAAACGGUUUCGUCUGUGACGAAGCGUGUGUGACGGCAAUGGGUAUAGAAGCACGGGAAAACCAUG